AGCGAACGCUGGCGGCAGGCCUAACACAUGCAAGUCGAACGAACUCUUCGGAGGUAGUGGCGGAUGGGGGUGUAACACGUGGGAACGUGCCUUUUGGUUCGGAAUAACUCUGGGACACGUGUGCUAAUACCGAAUGUGCCCUUCUGGGGGAAGAUUUAUCGAACUUAGUGGGGCCCGAGUCUGAUUAGCUCGUUGGUGAGGUAAGGGCUCACGAAGGCGUCGAUCAGUAGCUGGGUAGAGAGGAUGGCCAGCGACACUGAGACUGAGACCCGGCCCAGACUCUUCCGGGAUGCAGCAGAGGGGAAUCGAGCGAAACGGCGGGAGUGCUGACGCACCCCUGCUGCUAAAACUCUGAAGGUCGUAGGAUUGAAAAGUUCUUUCACCGGUGACGAUAAUGACGGUACCCGGAGAAGAAGCCCCGGCUAACUUCGUG
rnacentral:rRNA from 1 species